UACGGGGGGGGCAAGCGUUGUUCGGAAUUACUGGGCGUAAAGGGCGCGUAGGCGGCCUGCUAAGUCGGAUGUGAAAUCCCUCGGCUCAACCGAGGAACUGCAUCCGAUACUGGCGGGCUUGAAUCCGGGAGAGGGAUGUCGGAAUUCCAGGUGUAGCGGUGAAAUGCGUAGAUAUCUGGAGGAACACCGGUGGCGAAGGCGGCAUCCUGGACCGGAUUGACGCUGAGGCGCGAAAGCCAGGGGAGCAA
rnacentral:rRNA from 1 species